rnacentral:rRNA from 1 species
GAUGAACGCUGGCGGCGUGCUUAACACAUGCAAGUCGAACGAAGCACCUUGAUUUGCUUCUUCGGAUGAAGAUCUUGGUGACUGAGUGGCGGACGGGUGAGUAACGCGUGGGUAACCUGCCUCAUACAGGGGGAUAACAGUUAGAAAUGACUGCUAAUACCGCAUAAGACCACAGCACCGCAUGGUGCAGGGGUAAAAACUCCGGUGGUAUGAGAUGGACCCGCGUCUGAUUAGGUAGUUGGUGGGGUAACGGCCUACCAAGCCGGCGAUCAGUAGCCGACCUGAGAGGGUGACCGGCCACAUUGGGACUGAGACACGGCCCAAACUCCUACGGGAGGCAGCAGUGGGGAAUAUUGCACAAUGGGGGAAACCCUGAUGCAGCGACGCCGCGUGAGCGAUGAAGUAUUUCGGUAUGUAAAGCUCUAUCAGCAGGGAAGAAAAUGACGGUACCUGACUAAGAAGCACCGGCUAAAUACGUG